CCCUACGGGGUGCAGCAGGCGCGAAAACUUUACAAUGCUGGCAACAGCGAUAAGGGAACCUCGAGUGCCAGGUUACAAAUCUGGCUGUCGAGAUGCCUAAAAAGCAUUUCAUAGCAAGGGCCGGGCAAGACCGGUGCCAGCCGCCGCGGUAACACCGGCGGCUCGAGUGGUAACCGUUAUUAUUGGGUCUAAAGGGUCUGUAGCCGGCCGGAUAAGUCUCUUGAGAAAUCCAGCAGCUCAACUGUUGGGCUUUCAGGAGAUACUGUCUGGCUCGAGGCCGGGAGAGGUGAGAGGUACUUCAGGGGUAGGGGUGAAAUCUUGUAAUCCUUGAAGGACCACCAGUGGCGAAGGCGUCUCACCAGAACGGACCUGACGGCAAGGGACGAAAGCUAGGGGCACGAACCGG
rnacentral:rRNA from 1 species